GAAUGUGAAACCAUUUACAAAAAAAGUUACGUUUCUAAGUGAUCCUGAAGGUGACAUAUGAGAGGAGAGCAGAGCGCAAAACUGACUUCCAACUGACUGCAGAUUCAGCAAAUUUGACAAACAGAGGUACUGAAACCUAACUUUGAAAUCCCAGAACGUGAAACAGAAAAAUUAGGAAAAAUAAGGACAAGAACCCGUGGGAAACGAUUUGUCAAAUCCUGUUUGUUGUUUUAGCACAAAAGAAUUGCAUUUUGGCAUGUAAACCUAUAUCAAUGCACAGUAACUAUUCACAUUUUAAUGUACUUAGUUCUGAAAGUCAUGAUCAUCUGCCAAACAGGUUUUGGUCCCAGAUUGGGAAUUCUGACUGAAGAGGGAGACGACCUCAGAGCGACCUAUGAUGUGGAGACACGCUGUAAAAACCUGACUGAAGAGAGAGAUGCAUUAAAGAAGCAGCUAGGACACUUUGUUUUACAGCGCAACACGUUGACUGCAGAGAGAGACGCGUUGAAGAAGAUCAAUGUUGGUGAGUUUAUUGGUAACUUGGUGUUUGUAAGGA